ensembl:lncRNA
GGAAUGUCAAACUUGUGAGUUUCGUCAUGCCCUGAAUCAUUCCCUCAGCCAAAUGCACACGUUAACAUCAGAGGAUCACUCAUGUGGGCCAGUGAGCAUCAGGUCUCGGUCCCACAUGACUUUCGGUAGCGUUCCUCAUGGCCCACCGCAAGCGUAAUAACAGGAUCUGUAUGCACUGAACUCUGCCGUGUCCAAUUGAUGUGACAACCUCCCUAUCUAUUUAGACAGCGAGUUCACAUCCAGCUAAACAAUUAUGCUCUGCUUCUGCGCGAGUGUGCGCUCGGUUCGUAUAGGUCCUUCUCUUUGAACAGUAUCUUCUCUUUGCUUUUUGUUUGCUCACUGUUUCCUUCCUGCUCUAAUUUUCAGGACAGAGAAAUGAAUAAAAUUAGCAUACAGCACCCGAGGGACAUAUGGGAAGGUAAAUAAACAGCCGAAAAGUCAUCAUCUGAAUAUCAAAACAGCCAAUUUGCAUGGCGGGUGAUCAUUAACUAAAUGUGGAUCUACUUAUUUUGCCAAAUGUUAACAAGCAGGGAGAGAACAAGGAAGGAAGGGGCUGCUGGAGAAAUGGAAAACAACUUUAAUGUGGAUGAGUAAUCAAUGGCCCUGUUUGUACCCAGUACAAAAGAAAAAUGCCAACGUGUCCAGCGUUUCUUGGCUUGACCUUCCAAACAGGCGCUAUGUGAAUGGAAUCCUAAACUUGCCCGAACACCACGGAAACACUCAGGAGGGGGCGACGGGACAAUGAGAGCGUUGUUUCACCAGGCCCCCAUCCCAGAGACUGAUUGCCCGCCCCUCUUUAGCAGGCCUGCCCAAAUAUUUGUCAACCAGACACUGAAAAAACACUAAACAAGAGGGCAGAGGAUUCUAGAGCUUUACUAAGCAGCUUGGGGUCAUGUUGUUUUGGUGUGUUUGUAGUUGUGUAGGUAUGCAGGAGUUUUGACUGAGGAACACCGUUUAACACAAGACAACUGCUAAACCUCAAUCUUCCUGCAUUCCUACACCUGCACUUAAAAGGGUAAUAUGUUAAUUAAAGGGACAGGUCACCCAAAAAUUUAAAUUCUGUCAUCAUUUACUCACCCUUACACUGUUCCAAAUCUAUAUGAGUUUCAUGCUGUUGAACAUAAAAGAUAUUUUGAAGAAUAUUGGAAACCGAACAGUUGACGGUAGCCAUUGACUUCCAUAAUAGGGAAGUCAAUGGCUUCAAUCAAUGGCAUAAACUUCAUGAAAAUGAAAAGUAUAAUGGUAAUAAUAACACAGAAGUAAACAAAGGUUAAUA